rnacentral:rRNA from 1 species
AGAGUUUGAUCCUGGCUCAGGAUGAACGCUAGCGACAGGCUUAACACAUGCAAGUCGAGGGGCAGCGGUGGUGAAGGCUUGCCUUUACCAGCCGGCGACCGGCGCACGGGUGAGUAACACGUAUGCAACCUGCCUGCCACAGCCGGAUAAUCGGGAGAAAUUCCGUCUAAUACGGCAUAAUGCACCUAUGGGACAUCCUGUUGGUGCCAAAGGUUGAUUCCGGUGGCGGAUGGGCAUGCGUCGCAUUAGUUAGUUGGCGGUGUAACGGACCACCAAGACGACGAUGCGUAGGGGUUCUGAGAGGAAGGUCCCCCACACUGGUACUGAGACACGGACCAGACUCCUACGGGAGGCAGCAGUGAGGAAUAUUGGUCAAUGGGCGGGAGCCUGAACCAGCCAAGUCGCGUGAGGGAUGACGGCCCUAUGGGUUGUAAACCUCUUUUGCCGGGGAGCAAAGUGCCGCACGUGUGCGGUUUGGAGAGUACCCGGAGAAAAAGCAUCGGCUAACUCCGUGCCAGCAGCCGCGGUAAUACGGAGGAUGCGAGCGUUAUCCGGAUUUAUUGGGUUUAAAGGGUGCGUAGGCGGACGCUUAAGUCAGCGGUAAAAUUGCGGGGCUCAACCUCGUCGAGCCGUUGAAACUGGGUGCCUUGAGUGGGCGAGAAGUACGCGGAAUGCGUGGUGUAGCGGUGAAAUGCAUAGAUAUCGCGCAGAACUCCGAUUGCGAAGGCAGCAUGCCGGCUCCACACUGACGCUGAGGCACGAAAGCGUGGGUAUCGAACAGGAUUAGAUACCCUGGUAGUCCACGCAGUAAACGAUGAAUGCUGGCUGUCCGGGGGGACUGACCCCUGGGUGGCGAAGCGAAAGCGAUAAGCAUUCCACCUGGGGAGUACGCCGGCAACGGUGAAACUCAAAGGAAUUGACGGGGGCCCGCACAAGCGGAGGAACAUGUGGUUUAAUUCGAUGAUACGCGAGGAACCUUACCCGGGCUCAAACGGGGAGUGGCGCAGGCAGAGACGCCUGUUUCCCACGGGACACUCCCCGAGGUGCUGCAUGGUUGUCGUCAGCUCGUGCCGUGAGGUGUCGGCUUAAGUGCCAUAACGAGCGCAACCCCCGCGUGCAGUUGCUAACAGUCAACGCUGAGGACUCUGCACGGACUGCCGGCGCAAGCCGCGAGGAAGGCGGGGAUGACGUCAAAUCAGCACGGCCCUUACGUCCGGGGCGACACACGUGUUACAAUGGGUGGUACAGCGGGAAGCCAGGCGGCGACGCCGAGCGGAACCCGAAAUCCACUCUCAGUUCGGAUCGGAGUCUGCAACCCGACUCCGUGAAGCUGGAUUCGCUAGUAAUCGCGCAUCAGCCAUGGCGCGGUGAAUACGAACCCGGGCCUUGUACACACCGCCCGUCAAG